rnacentral:rRNA from 1 species
GUAAGGAAUAUUGGACAAUGGACGCAAGUCUGAUCCAGCCAUGCCGCGUGAAGGAUUAAGGUCCUCUGGAUUGUAAACUUCUUUUAUAAGGGACGAAAAAAGGCUUUUCUAAGUCGUCUGACGGUACCUUAUGAAUAAGCACCGGCUAACUCCGUGCCAGCAGCCGCGGUAAUACGGAGGGUGCAAGCGUUAUCCGGAUUCACUGGGUUUAAAGGGUGCGUAGGCGGGCAGGUAAGUCAGUGUUGAAAUCCUAGAGCUUAACUCUAGAACUGCCAUUGAUACUAUCUGUCUUGAAUAUUGUGGAGGUAAGCGGAAUAUGUCAUGUAGCGGUGAAAUGCUUAGAUAUGACAUAGAACACCUAUUGCGAAGGCAGCUUACUACGCAUAUAUUGACGCUGAGGCACGAAAGCGUGGGGAUCAAACAGGAUUAGAAACCCGGGUAGUCC